UACGUAGGGUGCAAGCGUUGUCCGGAAUUAUUGGGCGUAAAGAGCUCGUAGGCGGUCUGUCGCGUCUGCUGUGAAAACUCAGGGCUUAACCCUGAGCUUGCAGUGGGUACGGGCAGACUAGAGUGCGGUAGGGGAGACUGGAAUUCCUGGUGUAGCGGUGAAAUGCGCAGAUAUCAGGAGGAACACCGGUGGCGAAGGCGGGCCUCUGGGCCGAAACUGACGCUGAGGAGCGAAAGCGUGGGGAGCAAACAGG
rnacentral:rRNA from 1 species